CAAGGAAUGCCUGUGAAGACGAGGUGGUCUUGAGAAUGAAACACAGGCUGAGGAUGCAAGAUGAAGCAGUUUCCAGCAGCCUGAGGGGAGCCUUCCCACAGAGAGACAGAGGCCUGGGGCCAGCGAGGGGAUGGGCCAAGGGGAAAGUGACCCCAAGGAAUAUGGGCAGAGCCUGACAGCAUCUGCUGCGAAGUGUUGCUAAACCUGAGAAAAUUCAACCCAACCCAACGUAAGACACUCACGCCUCAUGCUUAUUUCUCCCAUUACCUGUACGGGGAAAUUGAAGCUUUGAAAGGUGAAGUAACAACAUCACACAGCUGGUGAGUAUAAUAGCUGGCAUUUGGACCCAGGCUCUCUAACUCCUGGCUCUCUCCGCGAGCCCCAGGGAGGGUGGUUCGCUGAGGCUGACCUCGGAUGAAUGGAGAGUGAAACGAUGAACAGGAGCCAUGUUCUCACAAAGACCACAAGGGUUGCUCCAGCAGACAGAGGACUCCCAGGGCAGGGCCCCAGCUCUACAACGUGUAAAGUGAGGUUGGGCCGCAUUGCUCUUCCUAGACUGGUCCCUGGAGGUGGGACCAGGGACAGGGGGAUCUGGCCUUUGUGAGGAAAGCCUGGCGUUGGGGCUCAGAGUCUCGGGGACAGAGUCUCGGGGACCUGGGGAUUGGAUGGGAGUGCCUAGCACCCAGGGCAAUUCUUAAAGGAAUUGUCCAGAGUCCUCGACUGAGAGCUCUGCCACCACCUCUGGGAAAUACAUAGUGCAGACAGGGAAACGGGCACAGAAAGGCGAUGGCCCUUGACCAGGCUCACAUAGUUGCUAGGAUUCCAGACAAUGAGUCCAUACUCUACGCCGUAUCAUGCAUCUCAAGAAUAGACGAUUUCCUAAAAGCUGGUUCUCACCAGGCCCCUAUCGGGGAUGUUAGUCAGGUGAGGGGCAUUGGCUGUCAGUUACAGAAACUCAUCCCCAGGUGCCUGGCGCAGUUCCCCACAGUGGAGGGGACUGGAGUGGCUCACAUGACUCAGAAGUCCCGGGACUGCCCCAGGGCUCGUGUGCUGUUGUCUGAGGUCUUUCACACUCUGUUCCUCCGUUUCGUUGGCUUCUGUGAUUGCCCCCAUCUUGGGCAGAAUCUUCCUAUUUGCGGGCAGAUGACCUUCAGAGAAGGUCUUAUUUCAGGCUGAUUUCUGCAGGCUAGCUAUCUCAGGGGAGAGGGCACAGCAUCAUUUCCCAAGGGUUCCAGAAAACAUCAGGGCUGAGGCUCCCUGGAGAGUUCCUAUCACGUGCUCAUCCCUUGACUCCAGUUGUCUGGGCCUGGCUCAAAGGGCCCCCACUGGAGUGUGUGUGCAUGUGCCAUGCCCAAACUGAGUAGUCUGAGAUGAGGGAAAUUUGACUGCCCAGAGGAAAGUCAGGCACUGUCACUGGGAGAAGGGAACCUGGGUGCAUGGUGGCGGGAGCAGCAGAAGCCCACGGCUGCAGAUGCCCACCCACAAUGUGGACUGGAGAUGGUCUCAGGAUGAGGGCAAGCUGGGGGUCACCAAAGCAACUGUAACUCUUGAGCACUAGACCAUAGGGUGUCCUAGGUUGGGGUUUAGGAACAGGUGCCUUUGAGGAGGAUUAAUAUGCAGGCAGUGCUCCCAGGAGGCAAGAUAGGGAAAGAGAAGGAUGGGGAGGAGAGAGGAUAG
ensembl:lncRNA